GCUUGGGUGGCUUAGUUGGUAAAGCAUCUGACUUCAGCUCAGGUCAUGAUCUCACAGUUCACGACUUCGAGCUCUGUAUCAGGCU
rnacentral:tRNA from 1 species